rnacentral:rRNA from 1 species
GAUGAACGCUAGCGGGAGGCCUAACACAUGCAAGCCGAGCGGUAUUGUUUCUUCGGAAAUGAGAGAGCGGCGUACGGGUGCGGAACACGUGUGCAACCUGCCUUUAUCUGGGGGAUAGCCUUUCGAAAGGAAGAUUAAUACUCCAUAAUAUAUUGAACGGCAUCGUUUAAUAUUGAAAGCUCCGGCGGAUAGAGAUGGGCACGCGCAAGAUUAGCUAGUUGGUGAGGUAACGGCUCACCAAGGCGAUGAUCUUUAGGGGGCCUGAGAGGGUGAUCCCCCACACUGGUACUGAGACACGGACCAGACUCCUACGGGAGGCAGCAGUGAGGAAUAUUGGUCAAUGGGUGCAAGCCUGAACCAGCCAUCCCGCGUGAAGGACGACUGCCCUAUGGGUUGUAAACUUCUUUUGUAUAGGGAUAAACCUACCCUCGUGAGGGUAGCUGAAGGUACUAUACGAAUAAGCACCGGCUAACUCCGUGCCAGCAGCCGCGGUAAUACGGAGGGUGCAAGCGUUAUCCGGAUUUAUUGGGUUUAAAGGGUCCGUAGGCGGACUUAUAAGUCAGUGGUGAAAGCCUGUCGCUUAACGAUAGAACUGCCAUUGAUACUGUAAGUCUUGAGUAUAUUUGAGGUAGCUGGAAUAAGUAGUGUAGCGGUGAAAUGCAUAGAUAUUACUUAGAACACCAAUUGCGAAGGCAGGUUACCAAGAUAUAACUGACGCUGAGGGACGAAAGCGUGGGGAGCGAACAGGAUUAGAUACCCUGGUAGUCCACGCCGUAAACGAUGCUAACUCGUUUUUGGGCUUUAGGGUUCAGAGACCAAGCGAAAGUGAUAAGUUAGCCACCUGGGGAGUACGCUCGCAAGAGUGAAACUCAAAGGAGUUGACGGGGGCCCGCACAAGCGGUGGAUUAUGUGGUUUAAUUCGAUGAUACGCGAGGAACCUUACCAAGACUUAAAUGGGAAUUGACAGCUUUAGAAAUAGAGCUUUCUUCGGACAAUUUUCAAGGUGCUGCAUGGUUGUCGUCAGCUCGUGCCGUGAGGUGUUAGGUUAAGUCCUGCAACGAGCGCAACCCCUGUCACUAGUUGCCAUCAUUCAGUUGGGGACUCUAGUGAGACUGCCUACGCAAGUAGAGAGGAAGGUGGGGAUGACGUCAAAUCAUCACGGCCCUUACGUCUUGGGCCACACACGUAAUACAAUGGCCGGUACAGAGGGCAGCUACACAGCGAUGUGAUGCAAAUCUCGAAAGCCGGUCUCAGUUCGGAUUGGAGUCUGCAACUCGACUCUAUGAAGCUGGAAUCGCUAGUAAUCGCGCAUCAGCCAUGGCGCGGUGAAUACGUUCCCGGGCCU